AACGAACGCUGGCGGCAGGCUUAACACAUGCAAGUCGAGCGAGACCUUCGGGUCUAGCGGCGGACGGGUGAGUAACGCGUGGGAACGUGCCCUUCUCUACGGCAUAGCCCCGGGAAACUGGGAGUAAUACCGUAUACGCCCUCUGGGGGAAAGAUUUAUCGGAGAAGGAUCGGCCCGCGUUGGAUUAGGUAGUUGGUGGGGUAAUGGCCCACCACGCCGACGAUCCAUAGCUGGUUUGAGAGGAUGAGCAGCCACACUGGGACUGAGACACGGCCCAGAAUCCUACGGGAGGCGGGAGAGGGGGAUCUAAGACAAUGGGGGCAACCCUGAUAUAGCCAUGCCGCGUGAGUGAUGAAGGCCUUAGGGUAGUAAAGCUCUUUAAGAUGGGAAGAUAUUGACGGUACCAGCAGAAGAAGCCCCGGCUAACUCCGUG
rnacentral:rRNA from 1 species